rnacentral:lncRNA from 1 species
ACACACAUUUUUUUUUCUUUUGUUUUCCAUUUCUUUAUUACCCAUACUCCUUAUUUUAUUCUUCCACUAACAAAACAUGUUUCAUGACAUGUUUUACCCAUCCUUCCUUGUCAUGGCCGGCCACUACUCAUUAGGGGGGGAAUUUGACAUGCAAGUCCCCCCCUUUGUCCACAUGCACUAAUAGGUCCUCACACAUUGACCUAUCACAUUUUAGAAUUUUCUCACAUAAGUCCUAUUGACUAAAUUCACAUGAAAUCAACCAAAUUGAAGCUUGAAAUUUUCACACAUUC